UUGCCUGAAAUGAUGACUAUUUCAUGUCUCUUCUGAGACUCCUGAAGCUCUGGAGAUAGCACUUACCUCUCUGAUCAGGCAU
rnacentral:snoRNA from 1 species